rnacentral:lncRNA from 1 species
AGGUGUGUACCUGCCUCUACAGAGGAGGCUCCAGGUAUCCACAUUUCCUAAUCCCCGUUCUGGCUCAGAGUAGAGGUUCCAUUUUAAAAAUAAAUGAAUAAAAACAAGACAAAUAAGCAUUCCACUGGGCACUACCCCCUUCUCUAGACAUUGUCUAAGCCACUAUCUAAUGGCAGAAUGAAGAAAUUUAUUUUCAUAGCGAAGAAACGACCACCCCUGCAGAGGAGGACAGCAUCCCUUAGGAUGGCCCCAGGGCUCUUUAUCCUGUGACCUUUUACCUGGUCCAACAGUGGGAAUGGUGGCUCAGGAACUCAAUACAGCAUAACACCAAGAGGGCUGUCAUAAAAGGACAAACACAUUAAAAAUUACUAUGGAGAAGGAUGAAAGCAAGGUCCAGGCCUCAGCUUCAUGCAGAGAACACUGCAUCAUCCAGAGGCCAGCAUCAGAGCCUCCUGGGUAACUGCAGGCAGGACCCAGGGAAGAUAAAAAAGCAGAGGUGACUGAGCGUCUGGGGAAGAAGGAGGAAGCUUCUAGGGAUCCCUGAAGUUCAUGAAUUUGUAUAGAAGACAUCUGUGGCUUUUUAAAAUUUGUACUGGAGAGCAGGGUCAUGCUCUAAUUAAUGACACAAGUAAAUAUACAAAGUUAAAAAGCCUUUCAUCAACUUAUUCGGCCAGUGAGCCAGAAACAUCAGUGUUGGUAUUAGAGCAAUGCUUUUGUGCUCAGCAAUUAUUAAAAUGCAAAGAGGUAGAGAGAGCCAAGAAAAUAAAAGCAGAGACAGCUUUACCUGGGAAGAACUGGCUUUGAGAUGAGCACUGUGAAGGCUUGCAUGAACAUCCCUGAUAGUUCAGUUACAUUUCUAUGAUAUGGUGAAGAAGACGUGUAGACCACAGCAACAAAUAUGGCUGUUCCUACCGUGCCCCUGUCCACACUCUGCAGAAAGAGAACUACCCAGCACCCCAAACUGGAAGAUAGUGUGCUUUCCCAAUCUCAAAAACAUAUCCUAGCCAGACAACAGCCUCCUUUCUAGGUGAAGUAAGGAGAAUUUAGGGUGUCUAAGCCAGAAAGCCAGCACCCGUUUGAACCCCGGACAUGCAUAUUAAAGAGUUGUGCAGCAAUGAUGGUUUUGUGUAA